CUUCAAUUCCUAAAUAGAUUCAAUUAUAUUUAAAAUCUGAUUGAACGUUCGUGUGUGCUCAUCAAAGGCGGAGCGUAACCCUGAAGAAUUUUUGCGCAGUCAUAGUUGUGAGUCCCUGUUGGUCUCAGAGUAGAAUUGGGGAUCGAAAGCAGAUUAAUUCUAGCAAAUGUCCUUGUUUAUAUCCUUUUCUCCUUCCUCUCUUUUAACAGCUGAUCGAAUGAAACGUAAUGAGCAGUAUCCUUUCUCUCCUCAAAAUAUUCUUCAAAUUGUCAGAGUUAUCAUGUUGAUUUUCGUUUUUUUAAGUGCCCAUUCGACACAAGAUUUUCAUCACGGUUAUCUAGUAUAAGUCCUUAUUGGACACUCACUGUGAGUAUAAUUUAGGAUAUACAUUGCAGAUGUUUUGUGUUUAUUUUCUUCAUUAAAUCAGCUGCUUACAGCUGAUUUAAUGAACAUCAUGGCAGCUAAGUUCCUUUCCUCUCAAACAUUCUUCAAACUGUCAUAGUUGAAAAUUAAUAUUUGCUGUAUGUAUUUUUUUUUCCUCACCAAAAAUGCUUACGAUUCACAACCUUAAUACAAAAUUUUAACACUUUACAAGAUUUCAAUGGGGAAUUUAAAAAGAAAAAGGAGUACCUACGGACACUUAUAAGCAAUACAUAAUUCUUUAUGUGAAUGGCAUAUUAUAUGUACACUGUACAUAUGCACACAACAAAAGUAUGAGGCACUUGAUUAUUUCAAAGGUACUUGUAUACACAGUAGGUAUACUCAUGAUACUCCUAUAAUGAAUAUAAUCUUCACGGAAGUGUAAACAAAUGCAAAGAACCUCCUAAAGUGCAUCAAAAACACAACUUAAAAGAAUAAACUCCUUUUAAGAUCUAUUUUGAAUUUUAAUUAUCCUGACACUAUUUGGUUAAACUUGAUUUAGUUUUUCAAACAAUAUUCAACAUCUUCUUCACUUUCCAGCUUAAAAAGAUAAGGGAUGGCUACAUUUGAACUUUGAAUUUCUCCAUAUGUACCCAUGAUGAUCUCCAUCAAGCAGAUUUUCUAAGCCUCCUACAUUGAAUAGGGCCGCAUCAUCAACUUCAAACUGUCCUUCGCUUCCCUUUAACAUUGAAAGUAUAUCCGCAGAUUUUUUAAAAGUACUUGAAAAUGUUUUUAUAUAGUGUUGCAUCCUGAGGACAAGCCUUGUAUGAUUCUUAUUUUCUAUAUUUUCCAAUCCAAAUAUAGUUUCCCCUCCAUCAAAUCAACACGUAUAUCAUUUUCGAGCUCAGCAUCAAGUUCGUUUUUGACAAGUUAGUGAAGAAGUUAUUGCUAUUUACCAAAGUACAUACAUACAUUACAAAAUAGUACAGAUAUCCAUACAUUACAAAACUAUCCAUACAUACGACAAAGAACACGACUACACAAAGGGAUUUAAGAAUACGAAGAUCUUCAUCCUCUACUUGCAUGGCUUGGUAUCUCUCAUAUGGAAGCGAGGGACAUCUGUUAUUAAGAUGGUUUGCGCUUUGUUGUUCUUCCAUGCACAUACUGCACAUUGCACGUUUAUUUUUCCAUUUAAUCAGAUGACCAAAAAUGGCCCAUGACCUGUGUAGGCUUGAAAAAGUAAGUUCAUGUUAUGCCGCUAAACUUUGACACUCGUUUGUUUUAGUUUCUUCAACAUCUGAUGUGUAUGUGUCAUUGUUUGAUCUGCCCUGUAUCUGUUGCACCAAACUUCGAAGAAGAAGUCACCCACCCCCUUCUUUAUAUAGCUAGGAGCGCUCCAAAGCACAAACGAUUUUGACUUUCAGUACCACUCAUUGCAAGAUAAGCUCAGCAUCAUCUUUAUAUAUUAAUUUAAGGUCUCUCAUGUCAUUUUUAUGUAAUUAUUUUCAUUCAUCAGGUUGUUUAUCUGAAGGGCAGGCUGAUAAAAUAUCCUUAAGAAAAAAAGAAGGAAGAAAUCAAUUACUUUGCCUACUACUUGAUAUUGCCUUGAAGAUAAUUUUGACAUCAGAAGUUACGUAAUCAACUAAUAAAGUCAAUCACAGAGGAAGAAACCAUUUCUCGACCUUUGAGAACUAAAAAAUGAUCUCAAGGGUUCCAGAAGGAAAUCCUCAGACGAUUUUAGGGACCUUUUUAUUGCAAUAAAGCUCUAAUUUCCAAUGAUAAAACACAAAUACUCCAUUCAAAUCUAUUACCGGCACUAAUUAAUUUUACCCUGGCGCAGAGAUAAUACAAAACUGUAUUCGGCAGAAAUACAUCCAUCCAUUAGGGUUAAUAUAUAAAUUAGAAGUGUAAGCUUUGUUGCACUCAGAGUAUAAUUAAACUUCUAAGUUAUCUAAGACAUCGGAGUUAUUCCUGUCGAUGUUCUUAUUAGAUAUGGAGUAAAAUUGUUGUUAAUUUCCUUCAUCUAACAGCUGCUUGCAGUUAAUUGACAGCUGAGCUCAUCUCCUUUCAAAUAUUACUCAAAACGUUAAGAGUUUCCAUGUCUUUUUUCAGUUUCUUUUUUUAUCAUACCGACAUGUCAUAUUUCUACAACUCUAGUAGUUACAUCAAUAAUUACGAAAGAUAUUUUAUGAGGAACCUCUCUACAGAUGAUGUGUGUAGGAGUUACUUAAUUGCAUAUAAUGUGUGUAGAGAUAACAUAAAAACAAUUGCAAAUUAAAAUAUUUAUUCAAGGACUUUUUCUACCUCAUUUUUUUUUAAAUUGGAAAUUUAUUAUUUUAUUAUGACUAUUGACAUUGAUAGAUUAUAACUUUUGUGUGUAUUUAAAAUAUUUAUUACCUUGAUUCAAAAGGAUUUAAAUAUUGAACAUGUAGGGGAUACUUGGAACAAUUGUAGCAGUUCCUUGUUCAUAAACGUCAAAAAAUUUACAUCACAAUUGUAUAAUAUUUCGCAAAUUAUUGUAACAAAAAGUAAGAUAUUUUGUCAACUUUUCUUCGAAGUGUUAAAUUAAAACUGUUUUUGAGAGGUAAUUUCUUUUGGAGAACAAUAAUUGGGUACACUGUAUGUAUAUAUAGAUUAUUGAAGUAGAAAGAGAGGGGUCUCAACUUUUUCGAGAUAUUCCGACAAUUAGGACUUAGGAAGAUCGUUAAAGUAGAUGAAACGGUCUCAUUACUUAAACGAAGUCCUGAGCUUGUCUCUUAUGGAGUAUUCGGGAGGGGUGGGGACUCAGAGUCGAUCCUACUCCAAUAAUAUAUUCUUAAUGUUGCAAAGUUAUUUUCAUAUUAUUAAAACGUUGGGAUAAUUGAAUUUCAUGUUUCUGCUUACACGGUCUCCAAUUUCAAGAUGGUUAGAGAAAGUAUGAUACGGGACAAAGUUAUACACUGUAUCCAUAAGGAAAAAAAAUAUUGAGUGAUGACGUGAAGAAGAAGUUGACGCCGUCGUUGUUUACCAAAACCUUCAGAUUGUUGGUGUAAUGAAUAGUUUUUAUAGAAAUAUAGGAUGAUUCCAUACGAGAUCAGGAGGGAUUGAUGUAUACAUAACUAUAUUUUCUAUUAUUUUGGUCAACUAACUUUCGGCUUCAAAAAAUAUACUUUGCUUUUGCUCAGCGUGGUCACUUUAUAUAUUUUUUCUCUAUGAGUUUGCCCCAUUAUUUUUAUAAUGAUUUAGUCAGUUUAAACAUUUUUUUUUUGUUAAGAGUGAUUUUUUUUCAAUCUGUACACCUGAUCAGUGAUCUAUAAUACAAAUCUAUCGAAGACUUUUGAGUUUGGGAGGGUUUUUUUAAAAUAAUUUUUAAUACUAAUAUUGUUGAUUUUGUUAUUUUUUUGUUUGUUUAUAUUUCAUUUCAUUUUUUGUUGUUUUUAAUUCAUUUUAUUGUUUUUAGCCUAUUAGAUUAAAGUUAUUGUACUUCCGCAAAAAAAAAAUAUAUAUAUAGAAUAAACAUUAUUAUAUUUUAA
rnacentral:lncRNA from 1 species